rnacentral:lncRNA from 1 species
UAAGCUGACAGGGUUCCCCUUUGGGGCAAAGCAAGGAGCAAUGAUUUCAGACUUGCCCCACCCAGACGUACCACAGGAUAAUGCCGUGCCUUUCUGAGCUUGGGUCAUCCAGACUGCUGGCCUCCAGAAAACAAAGCCAGAGGUAGGUAGGGGACAGCUGUACUGCACAGAGUUCCCAGAACCAGGGGAUUUCUAGAGCUCUCCAGGCUGAGAAGUCACAGUCUACACACAGAACGUACUGUGAAAGUGUGCUUUCAUCAUCUGGAGAAGGAGAUGGGGAGACUUGUGAAGGAGAAGUGAUCUGUUGCAGAAAGCACAAGAUAUUUCUAAAAACAACAGCAAAUUCACCUUCCUCG